AGAGUUUGAUCCUGGCUCAGGAUGAACGCUGGCGGCGUGCCUAAUACAUGCAAGUCGAGCGAAUGGAUUAAGAGCUUGCUCUUAUGAAGUUAGCGGCGGACGGGUGAGUAACACGUGGGUAACCUGCCCAUAAGACUGGGAUAACUCCGGGAAACCGGGGCUAAUACCGGAUAACAUUUUGAACCGCAUGGUUCGAAAUUGAAAGGCGGCUUCGGCUGUCACUUAUGGAUGGACCCGCGUCGCAUUAGCUAGUUGGUGAGGUAACGGCUCACCAAGGCAACGAUGCGUAGCCGACCUGAGAGGGUGAUCGGCCACACUGGGACUGAGACACGGCCCAGACUCCUACGGGAGGCAGCAGUAGGGAAUCUUCCGCAAUGGACGAAAGUCUGACGGAGCAACGCCGCGUGAGUGAUGAAGGCUUUCGGGUCGUAAAACUCUGUUGUUAGGGAAGAACAAGUGCUAGUUGAAUAAGCUGGCACCUUGACGGUACCUAACCAGAAAGCCACGGCUAACUACGUGCCAGCAGCCGCGGUAAUACGUAGGUGGCAAGCGUUAUCCGGAAUUAUUGGGCGUAAAGCGCGCGCAGGUGGUUUCUUAAGUCUGAUGUGAAAGCCCACGGCUCAACCGUGGAGGGUCAUUGGAAACUGGGAGACUUGAGUGCAGAAGAGGAAAGUGGAAUUCCAUGUGUAGCGGUGAAAUGCGUAGAGAUAUGGAGGAACACCAGUGGCGAAGGCGACUUUCUGGUCUGUAACUGACACUGAGGCGCGAAAGCGUGGGGAGCAAACAGGAUUAGAUACCCU
rnacentral:rRNA from 1 species